CAGCAGCCGCGGUAAUACGGAGGGUGCAAGCGUUAUCCGGAAUCAUUGGGUUUAAAGGGUCCGCAGGCGGACUUAUAAGUCAGUGGUGAAAGCCUACAGCUUAACUGUAGAACUGCCAUUGAUACUGUAAGUCUUGAAUUCGGUCGAAGUGGGCGGAAUGUGUAGUGUAGCGGUGAAAUGCUUAGAUAUUACACAGAACACCGAUAGCGAAGGCAGCUCACUAGGCCUGGAUUGACGCUCAGGGACGAAAGCGUGGGGAUCAAACAGGAUUAGAUACCCUGGUAGUCCACGCCGUAAACUAUGAUUACUCGUUUUCGGCGAUAUACUGUCGGAGACUAAGCGAAAGUGAUAAGUAAUCCACCUGGGGAGUACGAUCGCAAGGUUGAAACUCAAAGGAAUUGACGG
rnacentral:rRNA from 1 species